GGGGUUCCAGCAAAGCCUCUGUCUCCUUUUUCACCAGGUAAUCCUGCAGCACCUAUCCCAGGAGGACCAGGAAAACCUCUUUCACCACGCACUCCAGGGAAUCCAGGUUGGCCAGGGGGACCACGUUCUCCUUUCAAGCCAGCUGUACCCUAAUUUUUGGAAAGUAUAAGUGUACUCCUUGCCUGGCUGGCAAGACAGAACACAUCAUCCUCUCUGAAUAUUUUGCAACUGGGAUUUAGCACAGGAAUCUGUAAUUCUGAAGAAAGUGGAUUUUUUUCUACUGAGUUCAAUGGAAACAGAACAAGGUUGCACGUGGCACAGCACAGGGAGAUCACAUCUAGCAAUGCAGCUAACUGUUACAUGCAGGCCAUGUUUCCAGUAGUGGAUCUGGGAGCAGAGAUGAGCUUCACAUUCAGCUCCAUAUUCACAUCAGCUGAACUCUGUCAGUGCCAGAUUUCAAAGCAUUCGUUUCCACAAGAAGAGAAAUAUGCUAGAGCAGAAUUGAAUCUUGUCUUCACAAUUUCUACUUGGAUAACUACAUUUGUUCAAUCAUCUCCAAAUACUAGCUAAAUCAUUCACACUAGUUCUCACUAUCAAGCUGUGAGAAAGGCAGAAAGGGAUAAAACUACUGUCCAUGUUUGAACCUUUUCUCUAUAGUCCUGAAAGUAACAAGCCAUGCUGAAUGCAUUUGAGUCAGAUUACUUAUUUGCACGGCAUGUAAAAAAAGGUCUGAAAAACCUAGCUCUGAAAUAGUCAGUUGUUGAAGAACUGUCUUCCUCACUACUUCCAGUGAAAAUGGAAUCGUCUUCUGAGGAAGAAUGCACUACUCAUGGUAAAGAAUAGAAGUGGCAAAAUAAAUGAGGCCAAUAAACAUAAAGCAUGUAUAGGGCACAAAAGCAUGUGCAUUCUGAUCUGGAAGACAGAAUGUAUAGCACAGUACCUCUCUCUCACCACUGGUGAUAGAGGGAGCUCAUGUAACUCCAGUGUGUGAUAAAGCCAGUGCACAGGAAUGUCACUGGGAAGUUAUGUUGCCAGAAAGGAUCAGCUGUAAGGAAACAGGCAGCUUUGCGGAGAAGAGGUCUGGGAAGACUCAGUCUACUCACAGUAGGAAUGGUGUCAAAACCCACAUUAUGCUACAGGAACAUGUGUGCUAAGAACAUACUGCAGACACUUCCCAAAAUCUUCAUUAACAACCUGGAUGCAGGACUUGAAGGAAUACUAAUGACAGGAAUUGAGGAAACACCAUGAAGCUGAGUCAGAGGAAGUUUAGGCUGGAUAUCAGGAAAAGAUUUUACAUCCAGAGGGUGGCUGAGCACUGGAACAGGCUCCCCAGGGAAGUGGUCACAACAACAGCCUGAUGGAGCUCAAGAAGCAUUUGGACAAUUCUCUCAGGCACACAGGGUGAUGUUUGGGAUGUUCUUCACAGGACCAGGAGUUGGACCCAAUGAUCCAGAUAAGCCCCUCCUAAUUCAGCAUUUUCUCUUAUUCUAUCAUUCAAAAUUCAGCAAAACUGCCAAUAUGCU